GACGAACGCUGGCGGCGUGCUUAACACAUGCAAGUCGAACGGAAAGGCCCUGCUUUUGUGGGGUGCUCGAGUGGCGAACGGGUGAGUAACACGUGAGUAACCUGCCCUUGACUUUGGGAUAACUUCAGGAAACUGGUGCUAAUACCGGAUAGGAGCUCCUGCUGCAUGGUGGGGGUUGGAAAGUUUCGGCGGUUGGGGAUGGACUCGCGGCUUAUCAGCUUGUUGGUGGGGUAGUGGCUUACCAAGGCUUUGACGGGUAGCCGGCCUGAGAGGGUGACCGGCCACAUUGGGACUGAGAUACGGACCAGACUCCUACGGGAGGCAGCAGGGGGGAAUAUUGCACAAUGGGCGGAAGCCUGAUGCAGCAACGCCGCGUGCGGGAUGACGGCCUUCGGGUUGUAAACCGCUUUAGCCUGUGACGAAGCGUGAGUGACGGUAAUGGGUAAAGAAGCACCGGCUAACUACGUG
rnacentral:rRNA from 1 species